UACGUAGGGUGCAAGCGUUGUCCGGAAUUAUUGGGCGUAAAGAGCUUGUAGGCGGUCUGUCGCGUCUGCUGUGAAAAUCCGGGGCUCAACCCCGGACUUGCAGUGGGUACGGGCAGACUAGAGUGUGGUAGGGGAGACUGGAAUUCCUGGUGUAGCGGUGAAAUGCGCAGAUAUCAGGAAGAACACCUAUGGCGAAGGCAGCUCUCUGGGACGGUACUGACGCUGAGACGCGAAAGCGUGGGGAGCGAACAGG
rnacentral:rRNA from 1 species